AAGGCUUGACAUAACCGAGUGUCCAAAGAGUUCCACAUUUCUGCGGCGUUCUCGGUUAUGUCAAGCCUUGGUAAGGUUCUUCGCGUUGCAUCGAAUUAAUCCGCAUGCUCCGCCGCUUGUGCGGGCCCCCGUCAAUUCCUUUGAGUUUUAGCCUUGCGGCCGUACUCCCCAGGCGGGGCGCUUAAUGCGUUAGCUACGACACGGAAACCGUGGAAAGGUCCCCACAUCUAGCGCCCAACGUUUACGGCGUGGACUAC
rnacentral:misc_RNA from 1 species